rfam:Drosophila ficusphila unplaced genomic scaffold scf7180000453811, whole genome shotgun sequence
GGCAAAUGCACUCUGUGUCACAUUGAAUUCAAACCACAUGUGAUGACAAUUUGUUAGUUUGCCAGAUCAAGGGGUUGCGUCUUAUCCAUGUGGUCAAUGCCUUACCAAGGCGAUUACAUUGAAAACACAACUUACAAUCA